rnacentral:lncRNA from 10 species
AUCUACACACCAUGGCCUUCCAAAACAUUGGGAGUACAGAACCAGAGCAAAUCAAUUGUCUAGCAGCUACGAGGUCUUCUUCACCACAAAACUAUGGCUCUCUUCCCUCGGGUUUAAGGAUCUUUCAAUUUGUUAUGACAAAGAAAAUCAAGAUAAAGCACUGCAAAUAGGACACAUGAAAGUCAUAGGAAACCAGCCAUAAUUCUCACUGAGACAAAAUUUUUUUUGAUUCAUCACACAAUUUGUGAUAUAAUGACAGUGAUUUUGCAUGAUACAUAUGUCUGGAUGAGACAGGAACCUAUUUUCUUUGUGGAUUGAAAAAGUGCACCAGUGUAAAUAUUUACUCAAAAUACACAAGCAAUGAAAGGUGGAGGAUGAAUGUACGUGAAGUACAAAAUGUGACAUAUACCAAAAACAGUUCUUGCUGGGACGGAC